rnacentral:misc_RNA from 1 species
GAUGAAGAACGCAGCGAACGUGCGAAACGUAAUGUGAAUUGCAGAAUUCAGUGAAUCAUCGAAUCUUUGAACGCAUCUUGCGCUCCUUGGUAUUCCGAGGAGCAUGCCUGUUUGAGUGUCGUGAAUACUCUCAUCUUCAACCCUUUUUUCGGAAAGGGAGGAAGGUUGGACUUGGGUGUUUGUUGAAGUGCGAGCUUCGACUCAUCCUAAAUGCAUUAGCGAUCUGCCUCGAUCACACACAAUGUGAUAAUUAAAACUAAAGCAUUGUUUAAUGAUCAAGUCGAGACUGCUUCUAACUGUCGCAAGACAAUAACGUGCAUAUAUUUGUGCAUGUCAUUUGACCUCAAAUCAGGUAGGACUACCCGCUGAACUUAAGCAUAUCAAUAAGCGGAGGA